rnacentral:rRNA from 1 species
UACGUAGGGGGCAAGCGUUGUCCGGAAUCAUUGGGCGUAAAGAGCGUGUAGGCGGCUUGGCAAGUCUGACGUGAAAGUCCCGCGGCUCAACCGCGGAUUGUCGUUGGAAACUGCCUCGCUAGAGUCCGGAAGAGGAGAGCGGAAUUCCUGGUGUAGCGGUGGAAUGCGCAGAUAUCGGGAGGAACACCAAUGGCGAAGGCAGCUCGCUGGGACGUUACUGACGCUGAGACGCGAAAGCGUGGGGAGCAAACAGG